rnacentral:rRNA from 1 species
UACGUAGGGGGCAAGCGUUGUCCGGAAUCAUUGGGCGUAAAGAGCGUGUAGGCGGCCAGAAAAGUCCGCUGUGAAAACUCGAGGCUCAACUUCGAGCUGUCGGUGGAAACUUUCUGGCUAGAGUCCGGAAGAGGAGAAUGAAAUUCCUGGUGUAGCGGUGAAAUGCGCAGAUAUCAGGAAGAACACCCGUGGCGAAGGCGGUUCUCUGGGACGGUACUGACGCUGAGACGCGAAAGCGUGGGGGAGCGAACAGG